rfam:Mus musculus chromosome 1, GRC primary reference assembly.
AACUAUUAAAGUACUUUUAUAGAAUUUGCCUGGCAGGCUUUCUGACUUUUGUUGGAAAACCCAU